GCUUCUCCAGUCAUCCUUUCCUGGUCUUCAAGAACCCUACAGACGUUACUCAAAUGACUUCAAAUAAAGCGAAAAAUCAUGGCUUAUUGGCAGAUAAGGAGCGCAAGGAGCUGAAGGUAGCAUGGAAGUGGUUGACCAAGACAUCUCUAGGUGGAAUGCAUUCUUUAAUGAGUGGAAUUUGGAUGAAGUUCUCAGCCCAUUCAUGGAGUGAUGGGAACUUCUCAGCAUCAAGCAUCUUCAUGCCUCCAACUUCUUCUAAAACACUGAGCCAGUGAGGUAUCCAACCCACUACCAGAUCCAAGAACCCCAUCUUCUCUCCUCCAAAAAACUUCUUCCCUUUUAUCGCCUUCUCCAGAAAUGCAAAUGAUUCUAGUGCUGACUCCAUGGCCUUCUCCUUUUCUUCCCCUUCAGCCUUGAAAGCUUCCCAUGCCCCAAACAUACACUGGUUUCAAGAAGAAAGAUUAAAUUCCAAAAAAAAAAAAAAAAAUCUCAAAAGGAAGUAGAGUUCUACUACCUUUUCAUCAGCAUACUUGGCCCAGAAACGAGCCAUGGCUCUCUCAUAUGGAUCUUCAGGCAGCAGAGGGUUGUCCUUCCAUGUCUCGUCGAUGUACUCAAGGAUGACAAGUGACUCAGGAAUAGGUUUAUCACCGUGGACAAGCACUGGGACCUUCUUGUGGACAGGAUUAUACUUAAGAAGCAUGGGGCUCUUGUUCCUUAGAUCUUCUUUUAUGUACUCAUACUCCACCCCCUUGAGUUUAAGAGCCCACUCAACCCUGACGCAGAAACCGCUUUUGAUAGAUCCAAUCACCUUCACUUCUUCUCCCAUUCUGAUAAAAUCUGCAAAACCAAAACCCAACCAAGACUUCAAGUCUCUGAUUUUGUCACCUUCAUGGUCUUUUGAGUGCUUAUAUAAAGAUGUGGUUUAUUGGGUAGUUCUCUCCUUGUUUGGCAGCCAACUUGGACCAUUGACUCGUCAAAGUUGUUUCCUGGAAUAUACAGAGCCUCUAAAGAAGAGUAUUCGAAAUAUCCACUUUUGCGGCUCCAAAUAACACGGCGUAUAACACACUUGAGUUAUUUAAUAAUUAAAUGUUCGUAUUUAAUAAUCAAAUUAAAUUAAAUCUUAUAUAAAUUUAUAUAAUUAAUAUCUUAUUUAAUCUAAUAAUUAUCUAUUUAUCAAACAAAUUAUGUAAAUUGUUAUAAAUGUUAUAAUUAUAGUAAUGAAUGUCACCACAUUAAUAUUAAUUAAGUAUUAUUUAUGACUUCUAUUAAUACUCAUUAAUGGAAAUCAUUAAUGUUAUUUAUGAGUUUCAUUAAUAUUCAUUAAUGGGGAUAUUAAUAGAAGCUGAUCGCUCAGAUUUUGUCGUUUGUUGGAUCAAAACAAAAUUUAUAACCUAAUUCACUCUUCUAUAGCAAUUUGUACCCGAUCAAAAAUAUGGUUUUAGUACAAACUACUGUAGUAUAGUGGUUUUUAGGUAUCGUCCACAAGGAUGGAUUAUUCUCGGUAAUUAAGGCUUGAACGAGAUGAUAAGAAAUGAUGGUGAUAAAAUGAAAUUUACUUGAAAUUGCAUGAUAAAAUCUCAAGAUAGCAAUGUAUUCAAAUUGAAUUGAAAAUGAAGUGAAAAAGAGAAGAAAAUUAAUAAGAUGUGAGAUUCUCGGAGUUAGGAUUUUCUAGAGAGCAAUUACCAUGGUGAAUAGGUGUUAAGAUCUAAUUUUCAUCAAGUUAGAUUGAAAACCUAAAUUUUCAUCUAAACCGAUUUUUGAUUUAGCUUUAGGUCUAGAUCUAAUUUCUCUUCAAAUUAGGUAAUCUAAUCCAAGAGAUCAAUUUGAAUCAUAAAUUCAAUUUAUCUUAAAUUAUCUUCCAAUGAUUCACACAAUGCAACUAUUCAAUCUCAUCAAAUCUAGCAUUAAGAAUUUGAUGAAUCUACCUAAUUUGCAUUGUAGUAAUCAUCCAAGACAAUUUGAAGAGAAAAAUCCCUAAAUUUCAAUUAAUCAAUCAAUUGAAUCAAAUUACCUUUGCAAUUCAAGCUUAAUUCUCUAAUUCACCAUAGAUCUUGCCUCUAGAUCCUCCCUCCUUCGAGAAAAACGAGAUUUAGCCACUCAUGCUUGGAGAUUUGAUCUCACAAGACAUGUUUGGCUACCGAGAAAAUAAGAGAAACUGAAGGAACGUGAAGAAUUUUAUAGAGAGAAGAAGUAUGAAAAGUCUUACAAUUAGAAAAUGAAUCAAAAGUUUUCAAAUGAGUAAAUCCCGUUUCUAUUUAUAGGCCAAGGUAAAAAGGACACUUGGCAACAUUUUAGAGGUCUUCCGGAUGCUUCUUCAUCAAGGAAUCUGGAGAGAAUGCAUUUUCGCACGAGCCCCUAGCAAUCUCGCAUGAUGGUGCGAAGCGGAGAAUCCAUCAGCUUCAAUUUCGUUCUUAUGGAGCGUUUCGCAUGACUGUGAGAAAAUUUCGCAUGGUCAUGCGAAAUCACUUCUUCACAAUUUCCUUAUGUGCUGCAGCCACACCCUCUCUGUUUCAUUUCGCAUGACUGUGCGAAAAUUUCACAUGGUCAUGCGAAAUCGAAAAUCAUGCUAUUCCGGCUCCUCUUUACAAUUUCUCUCAUUUCUUCAUGUUUAAUCCAUCUCCACCACCUUCAAUUAAGCUCCAAAGCUUGGUCCAAGUGCAUUUCCUCUUCCUCUUCAUCUACAUUAUGUAUCUUCCUCCAUUCCAUUUUCCAUUUGUCACUCCAUGCUUCAAAAAUCACCUUAAAAUAUCUCCAAAACUCAACAAAGAACCAUUAGUAUCUCUUGCAAGGGUAGCAAUGUAUAACUUGGGCAUAUUAGGCAUAAUUACUACUCAAAAGGUGUGAAACUCAUGAAAGUUAGUAUCUAAAAUAUGUGGUUUUCGAGUAGUAAUCAGAAGCCAUUUGAAAAACCUAUAAAAAGGGCUUUCCGUCUCUUGUAAUAGACAUCCCGAGAAAAAGAAAGAAAAGUUCUUCCCCUCAUUCUCUCUCUCUUUCUUUCAUUCUCUCAACUUUCUUCUAUGAUUUCUUCUUCCCUAUUAUAUAUCAAAGUAAGAUAUAUUUCAUUUCUAUUACUUUGAUUUGCAUUGUAUUUGUCCUUAUUUUACAACACGUUAUCAGCACAAAUUGCUCUGAAGGUAAUUCUCGUAUCUUAAACUUGAAGUUAUUUAUAUAGAAUAAAAUUUUACAUAUUUAUAUUAUUGUUGAUUUGUUUUGUUACAUAUUAUUAAAAGUUAUAAACAAAUUAUUUGAUUUUGUUUAUAAUCAAAGUUAAACCAAUGCUAUCAAGUUAUUAUAACUAAUUCUAAUAAUAUUGUUUUGUUAUAUAUAUGAAGUUAUUUGAUAAUGUCGAAUAUCACAAAACUCGAAUUUGUGGCACUUGACAUUUCGGGAAAGAACUAUCUAUCUUGGAUCCUUGAUGCUGAAUUACAUCUUGAUGCAAUGAACCUUGGAGCUACGAUCAAAUAAGGAAAUCAAGCAUCCCUGUAGGAUCGCGCAAAAGCAUUGAUUUUCUUUCGCCAUCACCUCUAUGAAGGUUUAAAAAAUGAGUAUCUUACAGUAAAUGACCCUUUUACUCUAUGGAGUAAUUUGAAGGAAAGAUAUGACCACCAGAAAACUGUGAUUCUCCCAAAAGCUCGAUAUGAUUGGAUGCACCUAAGGUUGCAAGAUUUUAAAACUGUUAGUGAAUACAACUCUACACUUUUCAAAAUCAGCUCUCAAUUAAAGCCGUGUGGAGAAAAAAAUCACAGAGGAAGACAUGUUAGAGAAAACUUUUACUACGUUUGAUGCCUCGAAUGUGCUCCUGCAGCAGCAAUAUCGAGAGCGUAGAUUUACAAAAUAUUCUGAAUUAAUAUCAUGUCUUCUUGUUGCUGAACAAAAUAAUGAGCUUUUGAUGAGAAAUCACCAGUCUCGUCCAACUGGAUCUGAACCAUUCCCUGAAGUGAAUGCAAUAUCGUCCCAAACUCGUGGACGUGGACGAGGAUGAGGACGUGGUCGUGGAAGAAAUUCCCGAUACCAUGGUUCUUAUAGUAAUAAUUCUCAAAAAAUGAAAGUCUCAUUGCACCACCAGAAGUGGAACAAUACUGAGACAAUACAAGAAAAUGGGAAGCGUUUAUAAGAUAAACCUCCUAAGAACCAUGAGAAUAAUUGUUAUAGGUGUGGUAUGAAGGGGCAUUGGUCGCGUACCUGUUGUACACCCAAACAUUUGGUCGACCUUUACCAAGCAUCAAUAAAAGCUAAAGGAAAAGAGAUAGAGAUGAACUUUACCGAUGGUGAUGGAUUGGACCUAACCUACUAUGACAUUGAUUUCUUUGGAGGUCUCAAUGAAAAAAUAGACCAUUUGAUAAACGAUGAGAAAAUUAACAUUGAUUGAUGUUACUUUAUAUAUGAAAUAAUAUAUUAUUAUGUCUUAUAUUUACAUCUGAUUUACUUUGUUAUUUACAUCAUGCCUUGUUUUUUUUUGUUAUAUCUGAAAUCCAUGUGUUAUUUGGUCUCAAGAUGAAUGAGGAUGAUGUAUGUCUCGCAGACUGUGCGACCACACACACAAUUCUUCGAGAUAAAAUAUAUUUCCUCGAAUUGACAUUAAUAAAAGCUAAUGUAAGUACCAUAUUUGGUAUUACAAACUUAGUUGAAGGCUCUGGAAGAGCAAACAUAACGUUGCCAAAUGGAACUAGAUUCCAUAUAAAUGACGCGUUAUAUUCUAGCAAAUCCAGAAGAAAUUUGCUCAGUUUUAAAGAUAUCCGCAGAAAUGGAUAUCAUAUUGAAACUAUGAAUGAAGAUAAUGUAGAAUAUAUUUACAUUACUUCCAUUAUAUCUGGCCAGAAGCUUAUAAUGGAAAAACUCUCAGCUUUCUCCUCUGGGUUGUAUCAUACAACUAUAAAGCCUAUUGAAUCAUAUGUUGUCGUGAACCAGAAGUUCAACGACCCAAAAUUUUUUGUCCUUUGGCAUGAUAGGCUAGGUCACCCAGGGUCUUCAAUGAUGCGUCGAAUAAUUGAACACUCACAUGGGCAUCCACUAAAGAACCAGAAGAUUCUUUCGCCCAAUGAAUACUCAUGUGCUGCCUGCUCACAAGGUAAAUUGAUAAUCAGACCAUCUUUUACUAAAGUCAUAAAUGAGUCACCAAUCUUUUUAGAAAGAAUACAUGGGGACAUAUGUGGGCCUGUCCAUCCACCAUGUGGUCCAUUCCGUUAUUUUAUGAUCUUAAUAGAUGCUUCUACUAGGUGGUCACAUAUUUGUCUCCUUUCUACACGUAACAUAGCCUUUGCUAGACUCCUUGCACAAAUAAUCAGAUUACGAGCACAAUUUCCAGAUUAUCCAAUUGAGACAAUACGUCUUGAUAAUGCUGGCGAAUUUACUUCUCAAACAUUCAUUGACUAUUGCAUGUCAGUAGGGAUAAAUAUUGAGCAUCCUGUUGCUCAUACUCAUACCCAAAAUGGUUUAGCAAAAUCCUUCAUCAAACGUCUCCAAUUAAUAGCUCGACCAUUACUAAUGAAAACCAAAUUACCUACUUUCGCCUGGGGACAUGCUAUUAUGCAUGCUGCAGCUUUAGUCUGUAUUCGACCUACAACUUACCAUGAAUACUCCCAUUCACAACUUGUGCUUGGAAAACAACCAAAUAUCUCUCACUUACGAAUCUUUGGUUGUGCAGUAUAUGUACCAAUUGCACCUACACAACGCACUAAAAUGGGUCCCCAACGAAGACUUGGGGUUUAUGUAGGUUUUGAUUCUCCAUCUAUCAUAAGAUAUCUUGAACAUUUGACAGACGAUGUUUUUACAGCUCGCUUUGCGGAUUAUCAUUUUAAUGAGAGUGUUUUCCCAUCAUUAGGGGGAAAAAAGUCGAUUCCUGAAGAACGACAAGAAAUUAGUUGGAAGACAUCUACUAUGACCCAUCUUGAUCCUCGUACAAAUCAAUGUGAACUAGAAGUUCAAAGGAUCAUUCAUUUGCAAAAUCUUGCAAAUCAAUUACCAGAUGCAUUCAUUGAUAUAAAGAAAGUGACAAAGUCACAUAUCCCGGCUGCAAAUACUCCAUCACGGAUUGAUGUCCCUGUAGGACAGUUAACAAAUGAAUCUAAGAUACGCCUGAAGCGUGGUAAACCUGUCAGCUCAAAGGAUGUAACUCCUCGGAAGAGGAGAACCCAAGAAAAACUUAGCACUCUAGAAGAGACCAUUAAAAUGACUGAUCAGUUUAAAAUUGAUAAAUCUAUAGCCCUAGAAGAGGCACAAAUAAUGCAGAAAGCCCCUGAAGAGGCACAUAUUGAACAAGAAACCCCCGAAGAGGCACAUAUUGAACAAGAAACCCCUAAAGAGGCACAGGUACCUGAAAAUUGUGAGAUCUCAGUAAGUUAUGUACAUACGGGAGAAAAAUGAGAUUGAAAUAAUAUUAUUAUUAACAAUAUUUUUGCUUUCCAAGUGGCCUCUGAAGUCAUAAGAAAUGAUGAAGAUCCCGAACCACGAAAUGUGGAAGAAUGUCGACAUAGAAAUGAUUGGCCAAAAUGGAAAGAAGCUAUACAGGCAGAGUUAACAAAACGAGAAGUUUUUGGACUUGUAGUCCAAACACUUGAAGAUGUAAAGCCUGUUGGGUACAAAUGGGUAUUUGUACGAAAACGCAAUGAAAAUAAUGAGAUCAUAAGAUAUAAAACGCGAUUAGUAGCACAAGGUUUCUUGCAGAGACCUGGUAUUGAUUAUGAGGAAACAUAUUCUCCCGUCAUGGACGCAAUCACAUUUCGUUUCUUAAUUAGUUUGACAGUCUCAGAAGGACUGGAUAUGCGUCUCAUGGAUAUUAUUACAACAUAUUUAUACGGAUCCAUGGAUAAUGAUAUAUACAUGAAAAUCACUAAAGGAUUUAAAUUGUCUGAAGCAAAUAAUACAACGCCUUAUAGCAUGUACUCAAUCAAGUUACAACGAUCAUUGUAUGGAUUAAAACAAUCUGGACGCAUGUGGUACAAUCGUCUUAGCGAAUACUUGCUAAAAGAAGGGUAUAUGAAUAACCCUAUAUGCCCAUGCAUCUUCAUUAAGAAAUCAGAAACCGGAUUUGCAAUUAUUGCAGUGUAUGUUGAUGACUUCAAUCUUGUUGGAACUCCUGAAAAGCUCACAAGAACAACAAAUUACUUGAAAAAGGAAUUUGAGAUGAAAGAUCUUGGAAAAACAAAAUUUUGUCUCGGCUCGCAGAUAGAGCAUUUUCCAAAUGGAGUUUUAGUACAUCAAUCAACAUACAUUAAGAAAGUUUUGAAGCGUUUUUAUAUGGAUAAAACACAUCCUUUAAGUUCUCCAGUGGUUGUCCGAUCACUUGAUGUGAAAAAGGAUUUAUUUCGUCCUUGCGAAAAGGAUGAAGAGUUACUUGGUCCUGAAGUACCAUAUCUUAGUGUUAUUGGUGCACUUAUGUAUCUUGCCAAUUGUACAUGUCCAUACAUCGCUUUUUCUGUUAAUUUAUUGGCAAGAUAUAGUUCCACUCCAACUCGAAGACAUUGGAAUGGUGUCAAACAUAUAUUGCGUUAUCUUCGUGGAACUACUGAUAUGGGUUUAUUUUACUCAAGGGAAUUAAAGCAACAAUUGCUUGGAUAUGCAGAUGCAGGAUAUCUUUCAGAUCCACAUAAAGGCAGGUCACAAACAGGGUAUGUGUUUAAUUACAAUGGUACUGCUAUUUCAUGGGAAUCUGUCAAACAAAUAAUGGUGACCACAUCAUCAAAUCAUUUAGAAAUACUGGCAAUUCAUGAAGCAAGUCGUGAAUGUAUAUGGUUAAGAUUUAUGAUCCAGCAUAUUCGGGAAUCAUGUGGACUCUCCUUUAUCAAAGGUAACCCGAUAAUAUUAUUUGAAGAUAAUACUGCAUGCAUUGCACAAAUAACAGGGGGUUAUAUUAAAAGAGAUAGAAAUAAACACAUUUCACCAAAAUUAUUUUAUACACAUGAACUCCAGAAGAGUGGUGAAAUUGAUGUGCAACAAAUACACUCAAGUAAUAAUCUAGCAGAUUUAUUCACAAAAUCAUUGCCAACCUCAACAUUCAAGAAGUUAAUACACAGAAUUGGAAUGCGUUAACUCAAGGAUAUCGACAUGAGGGGGAGUAUGUUGGCGUGAGUUGUAUAGUAAAAGGAAAUUAGAGUAAUUAUAGAAAAUGAGAUUUCUUUCCUUCACAGGUUAGCUUAAUUAUAGGAGCAAAAUCUGUAUAGCUUAGAAUAGAAAAUAUAUUCUGAUAUAUACUCGUAGGGUUGUGGUAAUAGAAUAAGAAAAAUAUUGAAUAGAAAAAGAAGAACUUUUUGACAUGGUAUCAGAGCCUAACCCUGGUACCCACCUAUCUUAAACAUUGCAUCUCUUACCUCGCCCACCAUGUCGUCCGAUGCAGAACCCCAGCUUGCUGUGUCUCAAUCCGAUUCCCUCUUCUCUGAAAUCACGGCUAAGAUGAUUGAAGCUCUUACCAAAGUCCAACCACCAACUCUGACCACCGAACCCUCUACUGCUCUGAUUGGCAUCAAAUUGGAUGGAACCAACUAUGCUCUCUGGUCCCAAGUUGUCGAGAUGUAUAUCUCUGGCAAAGACAAGUUGGGAUAUAUCAAUGGUGAUAUACCACAACCACCUUCGACGGAUCCAACAUUUCGAAAAUGGCGCACUGACAACGCCAUUGUCAAAGGUUGGUUGAUCAACUCCAUGGAUCCCUCUUUGAUAGGGAAUUUCAUUCGGUUUCCUACAGCUAAGUUGGUGUGGGAUUCCAUUGCUACCACUUACUUUGAUGGUAGUGACUCGUCUCAGGUCUAUGAUCUUCGACGUCGUGUGACGCAGCUUAAACAGACUGGAGGCUCCCUUGAGAAAUACUACAAUGACCUCCAAGGGUUGUGGCAUGAGAUUGACUUCCGCCGCCCUAAUCCUAUGGAGUGUGCAGUUGAUAUUCACAACUAUAAUCUUCUUCUUCAAGAAGACAGAGUGUAUGUUUUCUUGGAUGGCCUGGAUGAUCGACUAGAUAAGAUUCGGGGCGACGUGUUGCAGCUUCGUCCAUUCCCUACUGUGGAGCAAGCGUAUGCCCAUGUCCGCCGCGAAGCUCUCCGUCAAUCUGUUAUGAUCACUGGCAAUGCAGAUGCGGUUUAUGGUGCUGUUCUCGCAACCAAAGGACUCAAACUUGGUUCCUCUAUCCAACCUCCUACUAUGCACAAUGGCAUGCCUAAGUCUCGUACAUCUUCAGAGGGCUUGAAGUGCUCUCAUUGUGGCAAUUCGAAGCACACUCGUGACACCUGUUUUAAACUGCAUGGGUAUCCAGAUUGGUGGAAUGAUCUUCGGGCUAAGAAGGGUCGUGACGCGGGCACUAAGGAUGAAGACUCUGCUACAGCAGUUAUGGCUACUGCCGAACCUUAACUCUCAUUCAUACCACAGAUGACAAUGCCGAACUCAGGUAACUGUGGUUAUGCUUGUUAUACUUCGACUAAUGAUGGUUACCGUGGUGCAUGGCUAUUGGAUUCUGGCGCAACUGACCAUAUGACGUUUACUGCUAUGGAUUUCACCAUGACUUCCCUACCACGACGUACCAAUAUCGCCAAUGCUAAUGGUGUUAUCUCCUCUGUCACUGGCGCGGGCACUGUGACCUUAUCCCCUAAGUUGCAGCUGCAUAAUACUUUGUUUGUUCCAUCCUUAUCUCAUAAGCUUCUCUCCGUGAGCCAAGUGACCUCUGAUCUGAACUGCAUUGUGCUAAUAUAUCCUACUUUCUGUCUUCUCUAGGACAUUCUAACGAAGGAGAUUAUUGGGCGUGGUACUAAGAGGGGGGGACUCUACUAUAUGGAAGACCUGAGUGUGGGCCGAACACAUCACACGCAACAUACUCUUGAUGUCAAAGAAAAUGAACUUUGGCUUUGGCACCGUCGGUUAGGACAUUCGUCCUUCACCUAUAUGAAACAUUUGUUUCCGGAUUUGUUUUCUCAGUUGAAAAAUUUUGAUUUUCAAUGUGAAACUUGCAUAUUGGCCAAAAGUCAUAGGGCUUCUUUUCCAUUACAUUUGAAUAAAAAGGAUACUCCAUUUGCUUUGAUCCACUCGGAUGUGUGGGGACUUUCCCCAAUUACUACUGUCAACGACUUCAAAUGGUUUAUGUUGUUUGUUGAUGAUUGUACCCGCAUGACUUGGCUUUAUUUGCUCAAACAUAAAGAUGAAGUAUUAGGAGUUUUUAAAUCAUUUCAUGCUAUGGUGCAAACACAAUUUUCUGCUAAGGUUCAGGUUCUUCGAUCGGAUAAUGGUGGUGAAUAUGUCAAUCACCAAUUUCGUGAAUACUUUCAACAACAUGGUAUUAUUCAUGAGACUUCAUGCCCCCAAACGCCUCAACAAAAUGGCAUUGUUGAGAGAAAAAACAGACAUGUUCUUGAAACCGCUCGUGCUCUCUUAGUUGGUGCCCAUGCUCCUACUCGAUUUUGGGCUGACGCCGUUACCACUGCAGUUCAUUUGCUCAAUUGACUGCCUUCUAAGGUGUUGGACUUCCAAACUCCCUUACAAGCCCUCUCGGGCUAUACAGCUGUGCCUGCAAUCUUGAUGCUUCCUCCACGUGUAUUUGGGUGCGUAGCAUAUGUCCAUCUCCAUAAAAACCAGCAGACUAAGUUAGACCCCUGUGCACGUUGCUGCUUAUUUUUGGGCUAUGCUUUUCACCAAAAAGGAUAUAGAUGCUAUGAUCUCACUUCUGGUCGCAUGUAUAUUACUAUGGAUGUCACCUUCGUGGAAAUCGAAACAUUUUUUCCACCCAAUUCUCCUCUUCAGGGUGAGACUAGACAGGAAGAGCAGAAUUGGACAAAAUUAAAUUGGCCGAGCGUAUCUGAAAUACAUGUGGAACCGAGGCAACCAGAACACAUUUCUCUAGCUACUGAACAUCAUGAAGAUGAUCACGAAGCACAUGUUACUUCCCCCUCUACAGUACCCGAAAACCCAACUCCUGAGAAUGAUCCUGAGGUAAGCUCUUUUAACACAAAUAUCUUGGCACCUCCUAUUGGUUAUGUGUUACCUAACAGGCACAAUCGUGGCAAGCCUCCAAGCCGCUACUCACCAGACAUUGAAGGAAGAAGAUCAAGAUAUCCUAUCGCCAAUUAUGUGUCCACAAAGAAGUUGAAUGAACCUCUCAAGACAUUUGUGCAUAACAUUUCCGGGUGUCACGUUCCAACAAGGGUGGAGGAAGCCUUGGGAGACCCGAAGUGGACUCAGGCAAUCAAAGAUGAAAUGGAGGCACUAAUGAAGAACAAGACAUGGAAUCUAGUGCCAUUACCGGAAGGAAAAAAAACAGUGGGGUGCAAGUGGGUGUUUUCCAUUAAACACAAAGCUGACGGAUCUAUAGAAAGAUACAAGGCAAGACUCGUGGCAAAAGGGUAUACUCAAACAUAUGGUAUAGACUAUCAAGAUACUUUCUCACCAGUAGCUAAAUUAAAUACUGUUAGAGUGUUGAUAUCUCUUGCAGCAAAUUUAAAUUGGCCACUGCAUCAGUUUGAUGUGAAAAAUGCUUUCCUUCAUGGCGGGCUUGAAGAAGAAGUUUAUAUGGACAUCCCUCCAGGCUACUUAGUGACCACGGGAACUAAUGAGGUGUGUAAGUUGCAACGAGCCUUGUAUGGGUUAAAACAAUCGCCAUGAGCAUGGUUCGGGCGAUUCAGCCUGGCAAUGAAGAAAUAUGGUUUCCAACAGAGCAAUGCAGACCACACUUUGUUUCUAAAAAAACAGCAAGGAAAAGUCACAGCUCUUAUUGUCUAUGUCGAUGAUAUGGUCAUUACAGGAGAUGAUAUUGAAGAAAUCUCAUGGCUCUAAGGGCAAUUGGCUAGUGAAUUCGAAAUGAAGAAUCUAGGUGGGCUCAAGUAUUUCCUUGGGAUAGAGGUUGCCAGAUCAACCCAAGGCAUAUUUUUAUCCCAAAGAAAAUAUGUUCUAGAUUUAUUAUCUGAAGUUGGAUUGUUGGAGUGCAAACUAGUGGAUACCUCAAUUGUCCAAAAUCAUAAACUUGGGAUAUAUCCAAAUUAGAAACCAACUGGCAAAGGAAGAUAUCAACAGUUAGUUGGCAAACUCAUUUAUCUCUCUCAUACUCGUCCAGAUAUUGCGUAUGCUGUGAGUGUAGUAAGUCAAUUUAUGCAUUGUCCAAGUGAAGAACACAUGGAGGCUGUAAUUCGGAUACUAAGGUACUUGAAGUCUUCUCCAGGAAAAGGGCUCAUGUUUUCUAAGAAUGAUCAUGUGAGAGUUGAUGGCUAUACAGACGCAGAUUGGGCUGGGAACAUCUCUGAUAGGAAGUCGACAUCAGGGUAUUUCACAUUUGUAGGUGGAAACCUUGUGACAUGGAGAAGUAAGAAACAAAAGGUGGUGGCACUCUCUAGUGCAGAGGUAGAAUUUCGUGGGAUGGCCAAGGGUUUGUGUGAGCUUCUUUGGCUGAAAAGACUACUAACCGAGAUCGGUUUUGCUCCCAAGUCUGAAAUGAAUCUCUUUUGUGACAAUAAAGCAACUAUAGACAUUUCACACAAUCCGGUUCAACACGAUCGAACAAAGCAUGUAGAGGUUGAUCGACACUUCAUCAAAUAUAACCUAGAGACUAAUACAAUCCGGUUUCCAUUUGUCAAAUCUGAGGACCAGCUUGCAGAUAUACUCACCAAAGCCGUGUCAAGCAAAGAUUUCCACAACUCACUGAUCAAGUUGUGCAUGAAGGAUCCGUAUGCAUCAACUUGAGGGGGAGUGUUGGCAUGAGUUGUAUAGUAAAAGGAAAUUAGAGUAAUUAUAGAAAAUGAGAUUUCUUUCCUUCACAGGUUAGCUUAAUUAUAGGAGCAAAAUCUGUAUAGCUUAGAAUAGAAAAUAUAUUUUGAUAUAUACUCGUAGGGUUGUGGUAACAGAAUAAGAAAAAUAUUGAAUAGAAAAAGAAGAACUUUUUGAUAGAGUAUGCUUGUAAAAGGGUGUUAGUGUACUGUACUCUUUUUUCCUUCGUCUAGGUUUUGUCCUACUGGGUUUUACUAGCAAGGUUUUUAACAAGACAGUCCUAAUAUACCAAGAAAAGAAUAUUGUACUCUUUUUCCUUCGCUAGGUUUUUCCUACAGGGUUUUUUACUAGCAAGGUUUUAAUGAGACAUAUUCUUUCAAUGUGGUGGACAUCCAAGGGGGAGUGUUAUAAUUGUAGUAAUGAAUGUCACCACAUUAAUGUUAAUUAAGUAUUAUUUAUGAUUUUCAUUAAUACUCAUUAAUGGAAACCAUUAAUGUUAUUUAUGAGUUUCAUUAAUAUUCAUUAAUGGGGAUAUUAAUGGAAGCCAUUUGAAAAACCUAUAAAAGGGCUUCCCGUCUCCUGUAAUAGACAUCCCGAGAAAAAGAAAGAAAAGUUCUUCUCCUCAUUCUCUCUCUCUUUCUUUCAUUCUCACAACUCUCUUAUCUGAUUUCUUCUUCCCUAUUAGAUAUUAAAGUAAGAUAUAUUUCAUUUUUACUACUUUGAUUUGUAUUGUAUUUGUCCUUAUUUUACAAUAAUAAAUUUAAUUUAAAUCCAAUCUCAUGAAAAAUGUGAUGGGUUCAAAUCAUAUCGAUGAAACUUAUUAAAUUUUGUCAUUCUUACUUUAAAUUCAAUCACCAACUUCUUUGGUAUUAGCAAAUAUAACACAUUUACUUCUCACCAUCUUUAGCAUACCUUUUCCAAGUUUUUUUUGUGUUUCUAAACAUCUUUCUUUUUUUUUUGUUUCCUUUUUUUGCUUUGGUUAUUCAGGUUGAAUGACACCCACUUCAAAAAUCUAUAAAGUGAAGGGUCCGUGUGCGACCAUACGACACUAUAAUAAAUGGACAUCAUGAAAUGAAAAGGAUGGCCCCUUGACAUUAUGGAGCCCAAUAAUCUAUUUUUGGUGAACCACUUGCAUAAAAUAAAAACAAUAAUCCAUUUUUAAAAGAAGAGUUUGAAGGUGUCAAUAUUAGAAAAAGAAAUGGUUUUAAUUGAGAAACACACGAGAUUUAUGGAGAUUCACUCUCAAAAUAUUCUAUUUUGCCCCUGAAGCAAACAGACUAGUAUAGAAGCCUGUGGCAGUGAAGCAGAAUGUUAGUAGUCUAUGAUGCUGCUAUCAGUGUUUAUUUAUUUUCCCAGAGGCUGUGAUUGUUUUGGAUUUUAUUCCUUAAAAGACAGAUACAGAUAAACACCUACCCUCCAUUUAUUCCUGUAAUAUAAACUUAGGUCAAACUCAGAACCGGUAGAAUCACUGAUCAUUUUCCAGUAGUAAGUCUGCUGUUUUGCCCUCCCUGAAAGUAGUUUAUCAGCCCUUCCUUUGUUGGUAUUCUUUCACUGAUGAUUGGAAUGUUGAUAAAUUUCUGAGCCCAUUCAUAAAGGGAUGGAAACUUCUCUUCAUCCAGCAGCUUCAUGCCUCCAUGUUCUUCCAAGAAUUCGAUCCAGUUAGGCAGUGAACCCACCACCAGAUCCAGCAAGCCCAUCGUCUCUCCCCCAAAAAAUUUCUUCCCUUCAAUCUGCUUUUCUAGAAAACUCAGCGAUUCUUGUGCAGACUCUAUAGCUUUCUCUCGUUCAUGUCCUUUGGCACAGCAAGCAGCCCAGGCACCGAGCACACACUGCAUUCAAAAACUCAAAUAAGUACCUAUUUCUGAUGUUUGCCUGCAUGGAAAAUGGAAAGAGAAAAACAAUGUUCAUUUACCUUCUCAUCAGUGAAUCUUGCCCAGAAUCGGGUUUUGGCUCUUUCAGAAGGAUCCUCGGGCAAUAGAGGGUAGCCUUUCCAUGCCUCAUCUAUGUACUCAAGGAUGACAAGGGACUCGGCAAUUGGUCUACCAUCUUGCACAAGCACCGGGACCUUCUUGUGAACAGGGUUAGACUGGAGAAGCAUGGGGCUCUUGUUCCUCAAGUCUUCUUCCAGGUACUCAUAUGCUACACCCUUGAGCUUCAGUGCCCAUUCUACCCUGCAACAGAAAAAGCUUAGAGAAGCUCCAAGCACUUUCACUUCUCCCAUUGUGAAGUCUAUAAAGUUGAAAUCAAACUUAUGUUUUUUCUCUAUUGAAAGCCUUGGAUUGUGAAUUUAUAGACUUUGUGAACUUCAUUACUUGGCCACCAAGUUCCUCUGUAAGUUGAGUUUUGCAGUUGAAAGUUCAGCUUUUCCACUUCGUAUUUUCAAAUUUGUAAUUUUGUUGCUUGGGUCCUUAUCGUCAUGAUCAAGUUUAAGCUGCUCAAAUAUUAAAUUUGAUUUAAGUACAUGUUUGGAGUUUUAUAAUUCAGAGUGUGAGUUUUGUUUUCAACCUUUUCAUUGCAGUCAGCUGUCCAAUUGAACUAUUUUGUUGUUAGUACAACAAAUUUUUUGGUAAAUGAGUUGAAAUCAUGAAAACUCAUUGCCCAGGAUGGAUAAUAUUUUUUGUUUGGCUGAGUGGUUAUAAAUGAUAUCAUAGUCGGUCCAAUCCCAUGAAAAUAUAACAGUAGGUAAAAAAUGUCUAAUGAAAAAGUUCACAUUGAGAAAGGCCAGGUUUUGGAUCAACUUAAAAACCAUUACCUUAUGCCAGGAAGAAAUCUUUAUAAGAAACAAAAAUUUAUUAAACUUGUGACAGAAUAAGCAGGAUAUGAGGAAUAUCCUUCAAACCAGCAAAGCAGAGUCUACAAAAGAAAAAAGGGACAUAAAACCAAUCCUUUUCAGGGCUUCUCCAGUCAUCCUUUCCUGGUCUUCAAGAACCCUACAGACGUUACUCAAAUGACUUCAAAUAAAGCGAAAAAUCAUGGCUUAUUGGCAGAUAAGGAGCGCACGUAGCUGAGGCUAGCAUGGAAGUGGUUGACCAAGUCAUCUCUAGGUGGAAUGCAUUCUUUAAUGAGUGGAAUUUGGAUGAAGUUCUCAGCCCAUUCAUGGAGUGAUGGGAACCUCUCAGCAUCAAGCAUCUUCAUGCCUCCAACUUCUUCUAAAACACUGAGCCAGUGAGGUAUCCAACCCACUACCAGAUCCAAGAACCCCAUCUUCUCUCCUCCAAAAAACUUCUUCCCUUUUAUCGCCUUCUCCAGAAAUGCAAAUGAUUCUAGUGCUGACUCCAUAGCCUUCUCCUUUUCUUCCCCUUCAGCCUUGAAAGCUUCC
rnacentral:lncRNA from 1 species